rnacentral:lncRNA from 1 species
AACCUAUUAACCCUCUCCACCUCCCCCGCCAACCUCCCCACUACCCUUGCCGGCCUCUACUCUCUAAGUCCAUGAGUUCAAUUGUUUUGAUUUUUAGAUCCCACAAAUAAGUGAGAACAUGUGAUGUUUGUCUUUCUGUGCCUGGCUUAUUUCACUUAACAUAAUGACCUCCAGUUCCAUCCAUGUUGUUGCAACAUAGAUCUUACAUUUUUUAGCAUAAUUUUUCUCAAAGAAAAAGAAUGACUUAGUAGAGAUUAUUUAAAUAACAAAUUGGUAAAAUCUAUUAAAAGUGGGACUUUAAGAUUGUAUUAGAAAAAUCCUUUGUUUACAUAAUGCUUAAAAUUCCUGAACAAGUAUAAAAUACAGUCUAUCACCCUGGUCUAGUUCAUAAACAUUUUUGAUAACUUACCAUGUCUGUCUAAUGUUCAGAAUGCUUCAAAUAUUUGUCAUUAUAUUGACAAAAUAUCUGGAUAAUUGACAGAUUUUUUAAUGUUCCACCUGCUUGUCUCAUGUAGACACAGCUCAUAUCUAUUUCCCUCUGCAAAAAUAUAUUCUUGUCCAACUUACCUGUCAGGCUCUUUUAUGAUUAUGAAGAAUACCUUGCAAGAAGCUGAUGGAUUCCCUUUUUAUCCCCUAAAUCAUCUUGAGCUGUCACAUUGGAGCUGACACACUUUCAUUAUCAUAAAUACACACAAUACACCUCUUUACAAUUUAGUAACAAAUGGCUAAAUGUAUUUUUAAAACAUUUUAAUUGUGUAGAAAGCUAUAUCUGGUGCAUGUUUUUCUUUUUCAUGUUGUAAAAUCCAGUGAUUAACUGCCAUCUUUUAAUAUUGGUGCGGUGAUGAUCAUAAUAUCAAAAGCAUUCUGGCAUUAUGAAUUCAUAGUCAAAUGGUGACACCAACCAGAUGAGAUGAUGGUGUACCAGGCUCGAUGACAGUUCUAUCUCAGUUUAUCAUCUUAACUAAAAAAUAAUCCUAUCUAACUUGAAAUCCACAGCAGCUAUAAGUAGAAAAUAAAUCCAAACCACAGCUCAGACUUGUAACCUAACAGCUAUCAUAAAUAAUCAGAGCCUAUUUGAAGGUGGAAGAUGGGACAUUAGAAGCUAUUUACACUACUAGAGUGAUGCCAUCGAUCAGUAGCGGCAACCCGUAGAUAAGGCUCCUAUGAUGUCAUGGUUAUUUAUGAUGGGCAUUGACAGUAAAGCUACUACGGAAUUUUCUCCUCAGACAGCUUCAUUCAUUUUUGUUUGUGAUGCAUUUUGUUAUUAAAGAAGCAAUCAAUAGCAAAAAUCGUGGUGAUAAAAGUAUUACUUGUUAAAUAUGUGAAAAAUGUGCAUGUAUGUAAGAAUGUGGGACAAAAGAUGAAGAAUUUAAAAAUUCACUGGCAGUGUUUACGUGUUCCAGCUACAAAUACAUAAUAGAUUCAUUUCACAUGUCUUGGGCUUUCAAAUGUGGCCCACUUGUUCUUCCUCUUACAUCCUAUUCUCUUGUUAGAAAGCAGAGUUAAAAUGUUGUGGUGCCCUCCCACUUCCCCCCACAUCAUAUAUUUGACUCACUUUAGACAAUAUAAAAUUUAAUUAGAGAAAUCACAUGUGAUAAAGACAAACACCCAUUACUUUGUACAUAACCCAUCUAUAUGAGAGCAAAUUUGGUGAUUUCAGUUUAGUUUUUUUUUAAAUGUCAUUUUUUACUUGUUUUGUUUCCCCCCAUCCUGUAGCUCAUCUUCUAUUACUGAAAAUAUUCACUAGACCAGUGCUUCUCAUACCUUAAUAUACACACACAUCAGCUGGGAAUCUUGUUAAAAUGCAGUUUCUGUCGCAGUAGUUCCGGGAAGGGCCUGAAAUCCAACAUUUCUGAUAAGCACCCAGGUGACUCAAUGACAGUCCAGGGAUGCUGGUCCAGGGAUCACACUUUUAGCAGCAAGACACUAGGUAAGGUGGUUAUUUCCAUACAUUGCAGUCUUCCCUUCAAAUCAUUUGCCUGUAUUUAAAAUGGAUGUUUUUCUCAUUGGUGUAGAGCAGUGGUUCUCAAACUUUAGCUGUAGAGAGCCAUUUGGAGUGGUUGUUUAAACAGAUGUCUGUGCCCCAUCCCCGAGUUUCUGAUUCAAUAAGUCUGGGGUGAGCCCAAGAAUUUGCACUUCUAAAAAGUUCCCAAAUGACCACAUUUUUGAAAACCCCUGGUGUGGAGUCCUAAUUUAACAUUCACAUGACACUUGAAGCCCUUAUGUAAUGCUGGCAAGGUGGUAAGUUAUAAGACAGAUAAUAAAACAGGGGAGGGGAAUUAACAUUUGUUGAAUGCGUACUGUGUUUUAGGCAUUGUAGAUGCUAACGACCUACAUUAUUUCAUUUGUCUUACCUAAUUACCUUAAUUUAUUCAAUAUUGAUUUUGGUUCUACUCUAUAUAAUAUUUUCUGGAAAUCAUUGGAAAAAUGGCCUAAAUUCUCAUAGUGCCAUAAAAACAAAAUUCUUGCCCUGUUUUCUAUGUGGUUCCAAAUUUUUACUCUGAGAAUGUAAAAACAUAGCUUUUUUUCCCCAAGCCCCCUUUUCCUAUCACUCUCUUCCUCCCGAUCUGCUAAGACACUAUGAGUAACGAUAAACAGCAAAGACAAAAAAUAACAUAAUCUCUACCUUCUAGGGGUUUAUAGUCUAAUGAAGGAGGCAGGAAUUCUACAAGAUUGUGUGUAGUAUAACAGCAGAAUGAAAUUCUUGUGAAGAAGUGCAACCUUGCAUAGAGGAAUGAGAUCCAUUUCUCACCCUCUCUCCCUUUACUCUCCUUUUCUUGCAGCUUCUAUGCUUCCCAACACACACACACACACACACACACACACACACCCCUAACAUAAAUACAUUUCCUAAAUACCUAUAAUUCAGAAAAAAGUGUUAUCUAUAGAAAGGUUUCUUUGGCCUAAAUUACUCCAGUUUUCUGAUAGCCCCAGUUCACACCAUUUCAAUUCAGUGGGUUUCUGUGAGGUGCCUACCAUUCCAGAUAUUUGGGGCACAGUGGGGACCAAGACACAGCCCCAGCUCUCCAGAGUUGACAGUCUAGGGCAGGGAGACCUACAAGCAAACAGGCAGUUACGAUACAGGGUGAUAAUUAUUACACUCUGUAAGGCGGAGGUGCUAUGAGACCUAGCUCAGUUUAUUAGGCAUCCGGGGAAACUUCUUGGAGAAGUGAAAUCUCAGCUGGUGCCUGAAGAAUGAGUAGAAGUUCAAGGGAGGGGAGUUAUUCUAGUCACUUGCAGAGUAUCUUGCAUUGAAUUUCUCUCGGAAAAAAUAUCUAAAGUUACUGAGAUGUUUCUAUCAAAUAUUACACUGUGGUAAUGUUCAUCAAGCCUUUUAUGGAUCCUUGAUUUUUACAUAAAGUCCAGUGGGUAGUGGUGUUGGUGUUUAGUUUUGGGAUCCAGCCUUGAAAAUAAGAAGAGAUCAAAUUGGGGAGGGAUGUCAACCAAGCAACUGGCCAAACGAAAAUUCCCCCAUCUCCCUAAUGUUUAUUGUGGGAUAAGAGUCUGUAGAAACACCUCAAUAAUCCUUUUUUUUUUUUUUUUUUAAAUAAAAAAGAAACAUUUUCCACAGCCAUCUGGUUUCUAUGUAAAUGUAUGCAGUGACUCUGGAGCCAUCCAAAUCCCAGUACGCAUCUCACUUGCUCACUGACUCUUUUUUGGAGAAUCAGAAGAAGAAUCAAAAGCCUCUUUGAGGAUUACAGAAAAGGAAUUCCACAUGUGUUAGUGUGUGCAUGUAUAGGCAAUUUAUUUUAGAGAAAAGCUCCACUAAAAUCAAAUGAAUAUAAUCUAAACAUGCUUUUAAAAGAUUAAAAUAAAAAGAGAGAUGUAUCUGGAAAGCCCUUUGAAUUUUUAUAGUAGGGUCAAUUUAUGUGGUUCAUCCUAUGUAUUUUGAGAUCAAUCUUCAGUGGGACUUACAAUAAAUGAUGUGUUUAAGAUUUCUAUAGUCUUCCAGUGUGUUAUGACACUUAUGAAACUAUAAGAAACACUCACAGUAAGCUAUUCCUGCCUUCUAUUAUCAUUCUACUGUCGACACACUUUCUUAGUCAGCUUUAAAUGCUCAUUGGCAUAUUGUACAUAAUUUAAAAUGCUCAUGGGAUGAGUGGGCAGCAGCGCUUUAACAGUUUCCCCUGUAUCCAGAAUUUUUGCAGAAUUCAAAUCUAAAAUAAUUUUCUCUUAAAAAUAUUGCAAUGGAACUCCUCUUUGUCACCCAUUUAUAUAAGGAAAUACUGGGGCAGGGUAGGUUAUAAAAUUCAACUUUACUAUGAACAAGAACUGGCUCAGGAGGCAAUAUAAACUGGACAGAGCGAGUUAGAUGGCUUCAUUCAGUGGGAUUCCAACAGCUCUCCAGAAUUAAGAAUUAAGGGCACGUCUUAGUGCCUUAGAAAAGGAUGCUCAAUGGUUCACUUUUGCACACAGACAAACAGGCACUUGCUUGCCCACACUCCCCACAUAGUUUUGAAGGUAACAAUGUCCCAAGCAUUUUGAGACUUCUUCUUUGGUUAAUGGACAAAACAGCUUCCGAAAUAGAAGCAUUAUAGGAAAAUUCUAAUCUUGAUCUAACUCAGCAAUUGAAUAUAGCUUAAAGCUUAUAGCAUAAUUUCUGGGCCACCUGAUAGACUGACUUCAAUUAUUUUUUGAAUCAUUAGAAUGUAGCAUUGUAAUUAAUUUUUUUUCACAAAUCAAGUGUAAUAAGAUGAAUCUCUAAUUUUAAAAAAAGUUAAUGUUUCCCAAGGCUAAAAAAGAGAAAUGUGUUUGUUUUCAAAGAUAAUCUAUGUGCAUAUUCAUCAGUAUGUUUCUAUAUUGAUGUUAAAUAACAUUUCUUUACUUCGGAAUGGGUAGCAUCACCAGAGAGGAUUCUGUGUAAAACUCAGGAUACUAGCCCUGUUGACACACACCAUUGGUGUGGCCCUUAUUGUGCCAUGUUAUCUCUGCCCUAGGCUGGCUUCUAAGCCUUUUAUGGCUCAUCUUUUUCAUAUUGCUAUGUCUAGUGCCUAGCCCAGUGGCAGGCACACAGGGUUGUUGAAUUUAGUGCUACACAUUAUGGAAGCUGAAAUGUUUGUUUUGACCCUUUGGUUUGUAUUUCUUCUUCGUAGAAAUCAACGCAACUUCAUGGAUCUUUAUCUUUUAAUAGUUUACAUGAAGUAUCUCACAUCUGGCAACUAUCACCCCCGACCCAAUCAUAAAUAACAUUCAAAGUUAUUUAACUUCCUUUAUUAAAGGGGAGCUGAAAGGAGCAGCAGACUUUGUUGGCCAACUUCUAGAAAGGAAAUAAAGGCCAUUCAGACGUCAGAAGAUUGUAUAUGUUAGUUGAUACAGUGCAUUCAGUGUUCUUAAAGGAUCAAACACCAAGUUAGUAUUGAACUCAAUUUUCCAUCUUCUUCAACAGUGUCUAAGUUAAGAAUCAAAGUUUGUUGGUGUUAAGAUGCUUUAAAGUAGAAUGUCUUGGGGCUUCACAUACCCUUCAGACACAUUUAUCCUAAGCUAAAUUUACCCUUUAUGAAGGGGACAACUUGAACUAUUUAAUGCACCUUAAAAAGUGGUGGUGAGAGGUAGAUACUUUUCAGUUGUUAUGUCAUGGCCUUUAUUCAGUAUUUCUGAAUCCUCUUACAGAUAGAAACACUUGCAAACAUUCAUCGGGAAUUUGGCUAGCAGAAUAGUAACCCACCAGCCAAAGCCCACCUCAUCCAGUUUCCAGUGGUUGGUUGCUAGAAAGAUAUUCCAGUGACUGUCCGAAAGCAAAAACAAGCGGACCCGUAGCUGUGCUCCUGUUCUGUGAAUGGUGUGCUCCGCAGUGUCCACCUCGGGGUGCUUCUGUGCACCUCUGGGCCCAAAGCUCAGUGAAAACUUUUCACUAUUCAUAAGGGGGUUCUCAAACCCAUGGUAGGUUAGACUUCAAGAUCUGGUUUUGAUCAUCCUAGAUUUAGUACUCUGCUGCCUGGAAAAUAUGAGCUGUGAGUAGUGUGAAGAGCUGUUACUGUAGGACCCACAGUUUGCAAGGUAACUUCAAUCUGUACCAGGUGUGAUUUGAUUUUGCUGAGAUGAGGGAGUUGGCAGAGAAGGGAGGGGGGUGGUAGGGAAGAGGCUGUGGAAAUACCCUCAGUAAAAAGUACCCAGAGUUGAAUCUUCUAGCUGUCAGAACAAGUUCUUCCUGGCAAACUGCGUUAACGGCAUUAGCCCCAGCCCACUGUCCUCAGUCUCUUCCUGCACUUGUAGGAGGAAAGUUGGUUCUAAGUUUCUGUUAUGCUCAGUAAUGAGACAGAAUAAGGUGACACGGAAGACAGUGAACCAGAGGAGGGAGAAUCCGAGGAUCUGCACCGAGUCCCUUUCUUCUAGUCAUUAGCUGGGACUUUGGCACGUUGCCGAAAUUCUCAGAAGGUCAGUUUGUUCCUUUGUCAAAUAAUAAUUAAAUCUUCCCUCUACCCAGAGAGUUUCCUAAAUGAACUUUUGAAAGAUAUUGUCUAUAAAAAUAUUUCAAGACCUGUAAAAAAUGUUUUUGACAAGACAGAUGUGAAAGUAUGCAGCAGAGCAUGUGUGUUUGAAAUCCUCCAGCCAUGAAGAUGAUUUUCUUAAAGGAGAAGUGUGUAUCUCCCGUUCUCAUACUCUGACUAUCCCUAUACUUCUGACAACUUCUAGGCGUUGGUUUCUGUGAACACACCUUGGUCACUACACGAGAGUGUGCUUGGUUUCCUCAUCAGUAAACUGGGGACAAUAAUACCCACCUCCCAGGGUUAUCGUGAGGAUGAAACAAAGCAACCUGUGUGAGCACAGAGCACUAUAGGAGUUCGCUGAAUGUUAGUUCCUCACUCUUUCCUCUCCACCCCCAUGCCCCUACUCUGGUGAAAUAAAAUCCUUCUUGUAUAACUCAGGAAGCCCCAGGAACACAUUCCUGCAAGCCAUGGAGGAAAGAAAUACUUCCCUGUGUCCUUUUGGAGAGAGCUGGGCUUCGGCUGGGCUGAUGUCAUAGCUAUGCUCCUGGCUGCCUUUUAGUCAGAAGAGAUGUUAGUGUGCUGAAAAAUAGCCAAGGAGGCUUUUUUCCUCUGCAUGGGAAAGAAGACAUUUUUGUCCAUCCUCCAAGUCUUCCUUGCACAGAUUACUGUCAAACCCAAGCACUUUAUUUAUAAAAAUGCCAACAUACUCUGAUUAUUUGGCGAAUAACCAUGCUGCUGUCAGUGUACAAACAGCACAUAGAGUAUAAAAACAAUCUCCAUUUUUAUCAUGGCUGUCACAGCUGGGAGGCUGUGGAACAAGGAUGCAUUGUUUGAGGGAAGGGCUGUAGAGGCAACAUUCAGGUCCUUUGGUGGCCUCCUGGGCAGAAAGACUGUGGUCACAUUUGGUAAACUGUUACAUGUUCUUUUACUGAAAAACAUUAGGCUUGCCAUAAAUUAGUUUCUGGGUUCAAUAUUGAGAUCUUGACAUACUGUUGCUUUUAGAUAAGCAUUCCCUGGCCUGCCUGUCUGUCUGCCUCUCUCUUCUCUAAUUCAUAGGCCGUCCAAAUGCCUACGUGCUUCCAUGGAACAGGAAGACAGACCCAGUGGCUGUGCAACCAAAGGAAAUCCAUCAUUCACUGAUGAAUUUCUAAUGACUUCAUAUUUUACUACCACAUGGAACUCCCAAAUAAAGCCUCUAGAAGGGAAACACACACCCAAUACUGGGGGAAGGAGGGGUAAAGAAGUGAUGGCCCUUUACUCAGCACUGGUUUCUGACCUCCUCAAGCUGGUUCCUUCUGGGUCAAGGUAGAUCCUAGGGAGGAUAACUCUCCUGGUUUCAGUAACAGUUGUGAAGCAUAUGUGUGAGUGCAUAUGAUGACUCUGCAUGUCUAAGGUCUAACAGAUUGGUCCCAGGAUAUUACAUGUUUUCCCUGGAAAACCAUUUCUUUUUUUCCUAAAAUGUGUUUCAUCAUUGUAUGAGCUGUUGCUGCUGCU